rnacentral:sRNA from 1 species
GUUUGCACUUGUCGGGGAAGGGUGAGAACCUUCGAUUAAGGUUCGACUCGAGCGAAAGCGAGAGAACGUUGCCAACGGCAACGGCCCGAAGGGUGAGGAGCGAAGCGACGAAUAAUCCUUCCCCCACCACAA